CUGAGACCUACCUGGAACACAAUGAAACAAAAAACAAUCUGGAGUUUAUUGGCCAUCUACCGUAUACAGAGGACUGUGGAUGCCAGGCAGGAAGCUCUCCAGGUGCCCACCAUGCAAGUGGGAAGUGAUACAGCGCCUCCUGCCACAGAAGGCUGCAUGCAAACCCGUGUGCAACUGUGGACAAACUACAAUAUAAAGACCAUUCCAACAAUCAGUUUCCAGCCCAGGGAGACAUAGCCCUCUGCCCAAAGUAAAAGUGUGCUCUCUAUUAUUUUUCUUGUUUCUCUGUGUUCCAGUCAUUCUAUAACAUUACUUUUAUAACCAGAAAUAAUAAACAUUAUAAAAGUUAAAAUGUACAUAUUUUUAAAGGGUCUGACUUCUAGAAAACAAAAUCUUAACUGGUGAAGAGUGCUUAUGUACUCAUAUCUGAAGUGGGAGAUACAGAGUUGAGGAUGAAAUUCAAAUUUGGCAUUUUUGUCCUUGUUAGGUCCAUUUCUUUCAGAGGAAAUUUUCCCAAAGGGCUCAGAACCUUGAUCCACAAUUCUGCCUGCAUCCCAGGCUCUUUAUGACCUCCUUGUAGCCUUCAGGGGCAGAGGCCCUUAGGCCUUUCCACAGUCUUGCUCACCAUCUGAAUCUUUGUGAACUUCUAGUUUAGUUAACUAUGGUUAAUUUAGCUGCAUUGUCAAAAGGAUGACUGCCCUCAGGAAGAUAAAUUAAUUUCUCCCUCGAAUUAAACAAACGCAUUUGAAAUAUCACUAUAUGGUUACUGGUAGAGCCCAGCAUCUCUGUGGCUUUUCAUUUUUAGGGAACAUUUUUUUUUUUCCUCAUGGGUUCUACUACACAUUGGCGGUAGGAAGACAUUUUUAGAGAUGAGAAAUCAAAUUAAUUUUCUCAGUCCUAAUGUGACCCCAAAUCUACCAAUAUCUAAAAUCCAAGACUUCCUUUUUAUUAACCUACUUUUGCCGAAUGAAACUUCAGAGAACAGCUGCUAAGGUUAAUUACACAUAGUGGAGAACCAGCCCUGUGACCUUAUACUAAUAACCAGCUUUCUGAGUCUACCUUCUCCUCAGGUAUGGGUCCAAUGGUGCUUUGCCUCUUGGAGGACACUCACUUUUGAAAUUCCUUGGCCCAUAGUUGGAAUUCCUAAGACGCUAAUUUUAUGAUGUUGCUGAGGUAGUUUCCAAUCCUUCUGGGGAUAAAAAGCAUAAGAUUUCUAGGCAUUUACAGAAUGUAGAAGGGAGUAAAGUGAAGGUGCAUUGAAAUGGACUCAGCGUCACUCAGGUGGCCUGGCCAGAUCAUGCAGGUCAGAAGUCAUGAGCCCAGGAAAUGAUGGAAAAGAUUUAAGCAAGGAAGGAACAUGCUUGUUCUGUGUCAUUUGUCACUGUUGCCAAGGAAUUCUAUUCCUUACAUUUUUAAAAAAUGAUAUAAAGGGCUGAGGGUAGAGCUCAGUGGUAUAGCACAAGGCC